CAGGUGCAUGCUUCUAGCAUGAAGUCAGAC
rnacentral:rRNA from 1 species